GCGGCCGCUGGCUCAUCGACUGCAAGGUCCUGCCGCCCAACCACCGGGUGGUGUGGCCCUCGGCCGUGGUCUUCGACCUGGCGCAGGCGCUGCGCGACGGGGUCCUUCUGUGCCAGCUGCUGCACAACCUCUCCCCCGGCUCCAUCGACCUCAAGGACAUCAACUUCCGGCCGCAGAUGUCCCAGUUUCUGUGUUUGAAGAACAUACGCACCUUCCUGAAAGUCUGCCACGAUAAAUUCGGAUUAAGGAACAGCGAGCUGUUUGACCCCUUUGACCUCUUCGAUGUGCGAGACUUCGGAAAGGUCAUCUCCGCGGUGUCGAGGCUCUCCCUGCACAGCAUCGCGCAGAACAAAGGCAUCAGGUGAGCUCUCCGGAGUGCGCUGCCAAGGCCGGGUCCUUUCAUCUCCAUCGACACCAGCGUGCCUUGUCACAGAUACUGGGGUUGGAAGCAGAUGCCCUCUGCCUGUGUCUUUAUCAUGCAUUUGCAGCGUGUUGUCGCGUAACCUGUUGGCGGCUGCAGGAA
rnacentral:sRNA from 1 species